rnacentral:rRNA from 1 species
AUUGAACGCUGGCGGCAGGCUUAACACAUGCAAGUCGAGCGGAGCGAGGGUGCUUGCACCUUAGCUUAGCGGCGGACGGGUGAGUAAUGCUUAGGAAUCUGCCUAUUAGUGGGGGACAACAUUCCGAAAGGAAUGCUAAUACCGCAUACGCCCUACGGGGGAAAGCAGGGGAUCUUCGGACCUUGCGCUAAUAGAUGAGCCUCAGUCGGAUUAGCUAGUUGGUGGGGUAAAGGCCUACCAAGGCGACGAUCUGUAGCGGGUCUGAGAGGAUGAUCCGCCACACUGGGACUGAGACACGGCCCAGACUCCUACGGGAGGCAGCAGUGGGGAAUAUUGGACGAUGGGCGGAAGCCUGAUCCAGCCAUGCCGCGUGUGUGAAGAAGGCCUUUUGGUUGUAAAGCACUCUAAGCGAGGAGGAGGCUACUUAGAUUAAUACUCUGGGAUAGUGGACGUUACUCGCAGAAUAAGCACCGGCUAACUCUGUGCCAGCCGCCGCGGUAA